UAAUACGUAGGGUGCGAGCGUUGUCCGGAAUUAUUGGGCGUAAAGAGCUCGUAGGCGGUUUGUUGCGUCGACUGUGAAAACCUGGGGCUUAACUCUGGGCUUGCAGUCGAUACGGGCAGACUUGAGUUCGGUAGGGGAGACUGGAAUUCCUGGUGUAGCGGUGAAAUGCGCAGAUAUCAGGAGGAACACCGGUGGCGAAGGCGGGUCUCUGGGCCGAUACUGACGCUGAGGAGCGAAAGCGUGGGGAGCGAACAGGAUUAGAUACCCUGGUAGUCCACGCUGUAAACGUUGGGCGCUAGGUGUGGGGGACAUUCACGUUCUCCGUGCCGUAGCUAACGCAUUAAGCGCCCCGCCUGGGGAGUACGGCCGCAAGGCUA
rnacentral:rRNA from 1 species